GAGUGUGGGGCAUCUGACUGUGAAAUCUGUCACCCCAUUGAUCUCUAGGGUUGACUCGGCUGAUCUGGCUUCCUCCCUCACUGCUCCAUGUGUAUUCCCAUCUCAAAGAUGCUCACUUGGUUGAAGAGGAUGAACAUCCUCACUAGAGGAGGACCGUUCUUCCUUGUAGGGUUUAUGAACCACUGCACACCCGCUAGAAUCUCUCAACAAGCCCUCUCAUGAAAUCUGACUGCUCCAAGACCACCAUGCUGGAGAGGUCAUCGGAAGGGCUCAGGUCAACUGUUCCAGCAGAGCCCAGCCUUCUC
ensembl:misc_RNA 7SK 7SK RNA